GAGGGAAAGGCGAAAAGAACCCCGGCGAGGGGAGUGAAAAAGAACCUGAAACCGUGUACGUACAAGCAGUAGGAGCCCCAUCACUCAAGUGCCUCGCACUGAGUGAUGCAAUAACAUCACCGAAAAUAGCGCCGAAUUUGCUAACAAGGUUGGUCGAUUUUUUCAAGCCGUCGCGCAGUGUACCUAGAAGUACACGAGCAACGGAAGUUAAAAAAUCGGGCAAGAUUGAACGCAAAGGCAAGCGGGACAUUUGAGGAUGGGGUGACUGCGUACCUUUUGUAUAAUGGGUCAGCGACUUAUAUUCUGUAGCAAGGUUAACCGUAUAGGGGAGCC
rnacentral:rRNA from 1 species